rnacentral:rRNA from 1 species
AACGAACGCUGGCGGCAGGCUUAACACAUGCAAGUCGAGCGCCCCGCAAGGGGAGCGGCAGACGGGUGAGUAACGCGUGGGAAUCUACCCAUCACUACGGAACAACUCCGGGAAACUGGAGCUAAUACCGUAUACGUCCUUCGGGAGAAGGAUUUAUCGGUGAUGGAUGAGCCCGCGUUGGAUUAGCUAGUUGGUGGGGUAAUGGCCUACCAAGGCGACGAUCCAUAGCUGGUCUGAGAGGAUGAUCAGCCACACUGGGACUGAGACACGGCCCAGACUCCUACGGGAGGCAGCAGUGGGGAAUAUUGGACAAUGGGCGAAAGCCUGAUCCAGCCAUGCCGCGUGAGUGAUGACGGCCCUAGUGUUGUAAAGCUCUUUCGCAGGUGAAGAUAAUGACGGUAACCUGAGAAGAAGCCCCGGCUAACUUCGUGCCAGCCGCCGCAGUAACAC